rnacentral:lncRNA from 1 species
AGCUUUCACCCUGUGACAAAAUGUAUGGAAUAAAUGACUUUAGAGUAAAGAUUUUUCACUUUCUUGUUUCCCAGGUUUCAGGACUUGUGGCAAGGCAAAAGCAUCAUGGCGAAAGGGUGCCAUGGGGCGAAGCUGUGUACUUUGUAGCUGUGGAGAAACAGAGCCUAGGAACAGCACCAGAGAGGUCUACGCCUUCCAGCAACCGGUCCCCAGUGUCUCCAAUUACCACGCUUUAUACUUUUAUAUUCUCUCCACAAACAUUUUAAUCUAUGAAGAAGACAAAAGAGAAGACGCAAGAGGGAAAACAGGAGCUUCAAGCCCUGUUUUUCCACUCUGGGGAGCAGAUUUUAAAUGUGUUCCAUUCAAGGAUGCCAUCUUAACUACCUGCACUGGCAUGAAAUUCAAGAGCGUAUUGAGUUUUCCUUUUCAAAGGAGAAUCUGCUAAAUGAAGUUAGGAUUUUCAUGUGUAUUCCAGCCCCUUAAACUUUGCUCCCAGCAUCAAAUGCCGAAACACUGCACAGCACAUAAACAUCUUUGUUCUGCUGAAAAUGAUAUUACUCGGGUCAAAAUGUCUCUAUGGCAUAUUUCCUACUCAGGAAACAUUUCCAAGAAGGAACGUGAACUACACUUCCAGAAGCUAAAGUGAAGUAUCUUUGCUAUGAAAAAGCACAGAGUUUCUCUUUGUUUAUAGGUAAUUCCUAUCUUUAUAAUUUUCUAGCUUCAUAUAACUUUGGAUAAUGUGUUUAGCAAAGAAGCUCUUCAAUGUAUAUGAGUUUGGUAUUUAUAAGGGUGAAACUUCUAUAAGAAGAAGGAAACAAAUACUCACUGAGAAUGUCCUUUAUUUAAACCACUAGGUACUGCAGCUCUUAGGCUUUUUUCAUUUUCUAUUAGUGUACGUUUGGAGUACAUAAUAGUAAUAAUCCUUGUGGGGAGUUAGUACAUGUGCAUAAUACUUCAAUUCUUUUUUCUAUCUAUUUCCUCUCCCUUAACUCCACCCACCCCAUCUCUUAUCCCCUUCCACUUUGCAGAAGAUUUAUGUUCCUGUUAUUUAUCUUUUAUUGUGUUCUUUAUUUAUAUCUUAGGUUCUCAUAUAAGAGAAAUUGCAUGAUAAUUUAAAUUAUGUGUCUGAUUUGUUCCACUUAACACUACGAUCCCAGGGUGCAUCCAUGUGCUUACAAGACUCUGCUUCCUCUCUUUAUGGCUGAAUAGUACUUCAUUAUUUAUAAAUACAGCAUCAUAUUUAUCAACUCAUCUGUUGAUGGACAUAUAGGCCACUUCCAAGAUUUAGCUUCUGUGAAUUGUGCUGCUAUGUACAUAAUAGUCCUUUGUCUAAGGAGUAGCUGGUAAAAUGGGUAUGCAUGUAUCAAUGAAUAUGAUGUCUUUACUCUAGAAGGGAGAUAGUUGGAUCAACUGGAACUUCUAGUUUUAGUUUUUGAGAAACCUCCAUAGUGAUUUCCCUAGUGGUUGUACUAGUUUACAUUCCCACGAACAACAUAGAAAGGUUCCUUUCUCCCACACAGCCUCAUCAGAAUUUGUUGUUGUUUAAUUUCUUGAUGACAGCCAUUCUUUCUAGAGUAAGAGGGAAUCUCAGUGUUGUUUGAAUUUUCAUUUGCCUAAUGGUCAGAGAUACUGACAUUUUUCCAUGUGUUUAUUGGCCAUUUGUACUUCUUCUAAGAAGUCUUUAUGGGUUUGGUUGCACAUUUUUGGUUGGUUCUUUUACUGUGGGAGGUCUAACUUUCUGUAGUCUUUAUAUAUUCUCAAUACUAGUCCUCCGUCUGAAGAAUAGCUGGGAAAAAUUUUUCCUAUUCUGUACAUUGUCUCUUCACUCUGUUGGUUAUUUCUUUUUGUCCCCCAUUAAGUUUAUUGGUACAUUUAAAGCAAACAAUACAGUUAAUUUAUCAUUGGGAUCUUGUAUCUUUAUAUGACAGAUCUUGGUUCUUAUUUUUUCCCCAUACCCCUGCCCUCCCUUCAUCCCCUUAACCCUUCCCUAUUUACAAAGACUUUGUUUCCAUUUUUUCCUUUUUUCUCAUUUUUUCUUUUCCCUUAUUUCCUUUCCCCUCCCUUUCCCACUUCCUCUUUAGCCAUUUUCUUCCUAUUUCACACUCUCAAUUAUACCAUUUGAACCUUAUUUAAACUUUUAAUUUUUCACACCAGAGAAACUAUUCAGUAUUCACUCAUGUCCAUAUUGAUUUCACUUAAGAGUAUAGCCUCAGUGUGCAUCCAUUUAGCUAUAAAUGUCUCUAGAUUCUCUCUCUUUAUGGCUGAGUAGUACUCCUUUUUAUAUAAAAAAAAUCUUCUUUAUCCAGUCUCCAGUUGUUGGGCAUUUGGGUUGUUUCCAAAUUUUAGCUAUUACAAACUGUGCCACUAUAAACAUGGGUGUGCAUAUAUUACUGUGGUAUGAUCUUCUAUCCAGCAGAGGAAUAGCUGGGUCAAAUGGGACCUUUAAUCCUAAUUCUUAGAGGCACCUCCAUAUUGGUUUCCAUAGUGGUUGCACCAGUCUGUACUCCCACCAACAAUGUAGAAGCGUUCUUUUCUCGCCACAGCACCACCAGCAUUUGUUAUUGGUUGAUUUCUUGAUAGCAGCCAUUCUUUCUGGGGUGAGGUGGAAUCUGUGUUGUUUUUAUCUGCAUCUCUUGAAUGACCAGUGAUGUUGAACAUUUUUUUCCAUAUAUUUAUUUGCUGCUUUUACUUGUUUGUCUAAGAAAUGUCUGUUCACUUCAGAUGCACAUUUUUAAUUGGGUCUUUGUAUUUGGGGGGUCUUUUAUUAGUUCUUUAUAUAUUCUAGAUAAUAGUGCUUUGCCUGGGGAGUAGCUGGUAAAUUUUUUUCCCCCACAAUGUAGGUUGUCUCCUAGCUCUGUUGGUAAUUUCUUUUGCACUGCAAAAACUUUUUAAUACAAUGAGAUCCCUG